GUGGAGGGCUGGAUAAGGAGGAGGGCUACAAAGAAAAGAGUAAAGCUGCAGGGAAGGAGGGUGGAGGGCUGCAGCGGGAGGAGGAGAGGGAGGAAGGCUGCAAGGGGAGGAGGAGGAGUAUUGCAGGGGAGGGGGAGGAGAGCUGGCAGUGGAGGAGGAGGAGUAUUGCAGGGGAGGGGGAGGAGAGCUGGCAGGGGAGGAGGAGGAGGGCUACAAAGAAAAGAACUGCAGUGGGAGAAGGAGAGUGGUGGAGAGUUGCAGGGGAGGGGAAGAGGGAGGAGGACUGGAGGAGGAGGAGGGCUGCAGAGGAGGAGGGUAGUGGAGGGCUGCAGAGGAGGAGGAAGAGGAGAAUAGGGAGGACAAAUCCACUCUAGCAGGGGAACGAAAGCAGCAUGGGGCAGACAGAUCCACUCUAGCAUUCCAAUCUCCCUAAGCCUUUGAAUCCCUUCUUCUACACUAGCCACGGGCGGCCAGGCAUGUCCAGUUAUCCCGUGGUGGGCCAUGUUUUGGCCCAUGUUUCAGCCAAGCAGCCAACCAACCAAUUAGAGCCCUUUCUAAAUGCAGAAUCUCUGCUUAGUGAGCCCGUAUCAAUAAACUUGGCCUGAUCUAACUCUAUGUUCCUCCUACCAUUCUCCCAGGCCCUCAAUAUGCACUCCCACGGUCCUGGGAUUUCUAUGUAAACUGGAAAACUCACGUUCUCUUGGACACCGUGAGGCUGGGAGUUCCACAUGUGCUAUAAUCCAGCCACUGAAGGAUGAGAUUCUGGGUUUGAUUUUCAGUAGUCUCAGACCCGCAGCUAAAGGAGGUAAGAGUCUCUCUUGGGACAGUCAUAACUUUCAGAUUAUUCAUGUGACACUUCAGCUGGGAAUCUGAAUCCUGAGCUCACUCCCAUGAUACUUUUUCUGAGACAGAGUCUCACUCUGUAGCCCAGGCUGGAAUGCAGUGGGGCAAUCCCAGCUCAC
rnacentral:lncRNA from 1 species